rnacentral:rRNA from 1 species
AUUGAACGCUGGCGGCAUGCCUUACACAUGCAAGUCGAACGCGACAGGGGGCAACCCUGAGUAGAGUGGCGAACGGGUGAGUAAUGCAUCGGAACGUGUCCUGUAGCGGGGGACAACCCCGAGAAAUCGGGGCUAAUACCGCAUACGUCCUACGGGAGAAAGCGGGGACCGCAAGGCCUCACACUACAGGGGCGGGCGGUGGCGGAUUAGAUAGGUGGUGGGGUAAGAGCCCACCAUGGCGACGAUCCGUAGCUGGUCUGAGAGGAUGAUCAGCCACACUGGGACUGAGACACGGCCCAGACUCCUACGGGAGGCAGCAGUGGGGAAUUUUGGACAAUGGGCGCAAGCCUGAUCCAGCCAUGCCGCGUGAGUGAAGAAGGCCUUCGGGCUGUAAAGCUCUUUCGGCCGGGACGAAAUCGCUAUCGCUAAUAUCGGGAGUGGAUGACGGUACCGGAAUAAGAAGCACCGGCUAACUACGUGCCAGCCGCCGCGGUAA